UCUCUUUUAAGAUGUAAGUGUCACUCAACCUCAAGGUUUCUUCUUCUUAAGUCUCACUCAAUACAUUCUUUCGGUCAUCUAUAAAGUAUAUACUUCUUUCCUUGAUUCUUUAAGUUUUAAUUCCAAAUUAAUCAAUAAUUUUAAUUAAAAUAUAAUUUUUAAAGAGCCACAAUCUACAAGCACUCGAUAUGGUUGUCGUCUUAGUAGUCCUAUCACAUGCACCAAUUGACUCUUUUUAUAGUUAUCUAAGGCCAUGUCAUUUGUCUCUAAGAAACAAUAGC
rnacentral:lncRNA from 1 species